CCCUUAGAUGUUCUGGGCCGCACGCGCGCUACACUGAUGAAUUCAACGAGCUCACAACCUUGACCGAAAGGCCCGGGUAAACUCCGAACUUUCAUCGUGAUGGGGAUAGACUAUUGUAAUUUUUAGUCUUCAACGAGGAAUUCCUAGUAAGCGCGAUUCAUCAGAUCGCGUUGAUUACGUCCCUGCCCUUUGUACACACCGCCCGUCGCUACUACCGAUUGAAUGGCUUAGUGAGGCCUCCGGAUUGCUGGCUUUGGGUUCGCAAGUUCCCUUGGCUGCGAAAAGUUGGACAAACUUGGUCAUUUAGAGGAAGUAAAAGUCGUAACA
rnacentral:rRNA from 1 species